rfam:Alligator mississippiensis ScZkoYb_65.1, whole genome shotgun sequence.
AUAUAUACCUGGCAGGGGAGAUCCCAUGAUCACACAGAUCAUUUUUCCAGGGUGAGGCCUGUCCACUGCACUCCAAGCAGCUAGACCCCUGCAAAUUUCCCCAAAUGCGAGAAACUCGACUGCACAAUUUUUUGGCAAUGCAGAACUGCUUUCUUGCUUUUCCCCU